rfam:Endosymbiont of Acanthamoeba sp. TWC8 chromosome, complete genome.
GCCGAAGUAGCACAGGGGUAGUGCAACUGAUUCGUAAUCAGUAGGUCGGAGGUUCAAAUCCUCUCUUCGGCA